rnacentral:rRNA from 1 species
AUUUACUCGAGAGUUUGAUCCUGGCUCAGGAUGAACGCUGGCGGCGUGCUUAACACAUGCAAGUCGAACGGUGAAGCCAAGCUUGCUUGGUGGAUCAGUGGCGAACGGGUGAGUAACACGUGAGCAACCUGCCCUGAACUCUGGGAUAAGCGCUGGAAACGGCGUCUAAUACUGGAUAUGAGCUGCGGAGGCAUCUUCGUGGUUGGAAAGAUUUUUCGGUUUGGGAUGGGCUCGCGGCCUAUCAGCUUGUUGGUGAGGUAAUGGCUCACCAAGGCGUCGACGGGUAGCCGGCCUGAGAGGGUGACCGGCCACACUGGGACUGAGACACGGCCCAGACUCCUACGGGAGGCAGCAGUGGGGAAUAUUGCACAAUGGGCGGAAGCCUGAUGCAGCAACGCCGCGUGAGGGAUGACGGCCUUCGGGUUGUAAACCUCUUUUAGCAGGGAAGAAGCGAAAGUGACGGUACCUGCAGAAAAAGCGCCGGCUAACUACGUGCCAGCAGCCGCGGUAAUACGUAGGGCGCAAGCGUUAUCCGGAAUUAUUGGGCGUAAAGAGCUCGUAGGCGGUUUGUCGCGUCUGCUGUGAAAUCUGGGGGCUCAACCCCCAGCCUGCAGUGGGUACGGGCAGACUAGAGUGCGGUAGGGGAGAUUGGAAUUCCUGGUGUAGCGGUGGAAUGCGCAGAUAUCAGGAGGAACACCGAUGGCGAAGGCAGAUCUCUGGGCCGUAACUGACGCUGAGGAGCGAAAGGGUGGGGAGCAAACAGGCUUAGAUACCCUGGUAGUCCACCCCGUAAACGUUGGGAACUAGUUGUGGGGUCCAUUCCACGGAUUCCGUGACGCAGCUAACGCAUUAAGUUCCCCGCCUGGGGAGUACGGCCGCAAGGCUAAAACUCAAAGGAAUUGACGGGGACCCGCACAAGCGGCGGAGCAUGCGGAUUAAUUCGAUGCAACGCGAAGAACCUUACCAAGGCUUGACAUACACGAGAACGCUGCAGAAAUGUAGAACUCUUUGGACACUCGUGAACAGGUGGUGCAUGGUUGUCGUCAGCUCGUGUCGUGAGAUGUUGGGUUAAGUCCCGCAACGAGCGCAACCCUCGUUCUAUGUUGCCAGCACGUAAUGGUGGGAACUCAUGGGAUACUGCCGGGGUCAACUCGGAGGAAGGUGGGGAUGACGUCAAAUCAUCAUGCCCCUUAUGUCUUGGGCUUCACGCAUGCUACAAUGGCCGGUACAAAGGGCUGCAAUACCGCGAGGUGGAGCGAAUCCCAAAAAGCCGGUCCCAGUUCGGAUUGAGGUCUGCAACUCGACCUCAUGAAGUCGGAGUCGCUAGUAAUCGCAGAUCAGCAACGCUGCGGUGAAUACGUUCCCGGGUCUUGUACACACCGCCCGUCAAGUCAUGAAAGUCGGUAACACCUGAAGCCGGUGGCCCAACCCUUGUGGAGGGAGCCGUCGAAGGUGGGAUCGGUAAUUAGGACUAAGUCGUAACAAGGUAGCCGUACCGGAACCUGCGGCUGGAUCACCUCCUUAAC